rnacentral:rRNA from 1 species
UACAGAGGGGGCAAGCGUUGUUCGGAAUUACUGGGCGUAAAGGGCGCGUAGGCGGCCUGCUAAGUCGAACGUGAAAUCCCUGGGCUCAACCCAGGAACUGCGUCCGAUACUGGUUGGCUUGAAUCCGGGAGAGGGAUGUGGAGUUCCAGGUGUAGCGGUGAAAUGCGUAGAUAUCUGGAGGAACACCGGUGGCGAAGGCGACAUCCUGGACCGGUAUUGACGCUGAGGUGCGAAAGCGUGGGGAGCAAACAGG